rnacentral:misc_RNA from 1 species
AUGGGCUGUAAUGAGAUGGGCCAGGACUGUCGCCCGUUCUCUGUCCUUCUCGUGCUCUGGAGCAGUGGCGAGGAUGAGGACCACACACUCUCAGCUCUAAGCGUGUGCGGUGUGGAGCAUGGAGGCCUCCAAAGGCCAGUCCACCUCCACCCUGGAGAAGAGGACAGCCUGCUCAGAGGUGGGGUCAGGCUGGGGUCAGUAACCCUGGCAAUGGGCGGGGAGGCGGGGAUCCCCCAAGGCCUAGGCCAGUCCGAGGCUCUUCUCUGGCUGCUGCUGCUGAACGUGGCCACCCUGGAGCUGCGAGGGUCCCCAGCCACGGCCGCCCCCGGCCGGACUGCAGGCGAUGGGGGAGCGUUGAGGGGCGGCGCUCCGACUUGGCCAGCACAGCGGUUGGCUCCGGGAGCUACAGGUGGCAGCAGAGUCUCCACAGUGUGCGGGAAGCCCAAGGUGAUGGGGAGGAUCUAUGGUGGCCGGGACGUGGAGGCUGGCCAGUGGCCGUGGCAGGCCAGCCUGCGGUUCCAGGGCUCGCACAUCUGUGGAGCUGUCCUCAUUAACUCCAGCUGGCUUCUUUCCACUGCCCACUGCUUUCUCAAGAAAUCCAAAGCCCCGGAGAAUUACCAGGUUCUGUUAGGAAGCAUCCAGCUGUACCAGCACACCCCUCAGACCCGGGAGGUAUCCGUGAGCCGGAUUAUCACACACCCAGACUUCGAGAAGUUACAUCCCUUUGGGAGUGACAUCGCCAUGUUGCAGCUGCUCUUUCCUGUGAACUUCACCUCCUACAUCAUCCCUGCCUGCCUCCCAGUCCCUGGCAUGAAGCUCCCCAGUAACUCAUCCUGCUGGAUAACUGGCUGGGGGAUGCUCAACGAGGAAACGCCUCUGCUCGAACCCUUCCAUCUCCAGGAGGGUAAGGUGAGCUUCGUUGAGAACAAGUUCUGUAAUAUGUUAUAUGGACUUGCGAAAGGCAAGAACGUCUCUGUGCAGGAGGACAUGCUGUGUGCUGGGGACUUCUCCACAGGAACGUCCAUCUGCCUAGGCGAUUCCGGGGGCCCCCUCGUCUGUGACUUCACCAGUUCCUGGGUUCUGAUGGGGCUGGCCAGCUGGGGUUUUGACUGCCGACACCCCAUCUACCCCAGCAUCUUCACCAACGUCACCUACUUCACCAACUGGAUCGAAGAGAUCCAGAGACUCACACCCAACCCUGAGCCCACGUCUGCUCUUACACCACUCCCUGAGCCCACGUCCACUCCUCCACAGACCCAGUUUCCACACCAGUCUCUGCGGGCUGCCGCCUCGUCCGUGCUGGGCACAGCCUUUGUGCCUCCACAGACCUGGCCCUUGCUGCUGUUCCUGCUUGGUUCCCUGAGGCAAGCCACGUGGUGAUCCGCCAAGCCCCUCAGCUCCUGCUCUGUGCCUCAGGCUCCAGCCUUCUCACUGGAACCUUCCCCCGACCCCACUCCCCCAGCCCCAUCAGCUCUCAGUGGUCCCUUCUUGGCUUUCCUGUCCACCAGCUGAAACCCCCACAAUCCAAGCUUGAAAAACCAAAUAAAAACAAAUGAAAGAC